rnacentral:tRNA from 1 species
GGGGUUGUGGCUCAGUGGUGGAGCACUCGCCUAGCACAUGGGAAGCCUGGGUUCAAUCCUCAGCACCA